rnacentral:rRNA from 1 species
UACGGGGGAGGCAAGCGUUGUUCGGAUUUACUGGGCGUAAAGGGCGCGUAGGCGGUCAGCACAAGUCAGUUGUGAAAUCUCCGGGCUUAACUCGGAAAGGUCAACUGAUACUGUGCGACUAGAGUGCAGAAGGGGCAACUGGAAUUCUCGGUGUAGCGGUGAAAUGCGUAGAUAUCAGGAGGAACACCGGUGGCGAAGGCGGGUCUCUGGGCAGUAACUGACGCUGAGGAGCGAAAGCGUGGGGAGCGAACAGG